AUUGAACGCUGGCGGCAGGCCUAACACAUGCAAGUCGAACGGUAACAGGAAACAGCUUGCUGUUUCGCUGACGAGUGGCGGACGGGUGAGUAAUGUCUGGGAAACUGCCUGAUGGAGGGGGAUAACUACUGGAAACGGUAGCUAAUACCGCAUAACGUCGCAAGACCAAAGAGGGGGACCUUCGGGCCUCUUGCCAUCGGAUGUGCCCAGAUGGGAUUAGCUAGUAGGUGGGGUAACGGCUCACCUAGGCGACGAUCCCUAGCUGGUCUGAGAGGAUGACCAGCCACACUGGAAAUGAGACACGGUCCAGACUCCCACGGGAGGCAGCAGUGGGGAAUAUUGCACAAUGGGCGCAAGCCUGAUGCAGCCAUGCCGCGUGUAUGAAGAAGGCCUUCGGGUUGUAAAGUACUUUCAGCGGGGAGGAAGGGAGUAAAGUUAAUACCUUUACUCAUUGACGUUACCCGCAGAAGAAGCACCGGCGAACUCCGU
rnacentral:rRNA from 1 species